AUUGAACGCUGGCGGUAGGCCUAACACAUGCAAGUCGAACGGCAGCACAGUAAGAGCUUGCUCUUACGGGUGGCGAGUGGCGGACGGGUGAGGAAUACAUCGGAAUCUACUUUUUCGUGGGGGAGAACGUAGGGAAACUUACGCUAAUACCGCAUACGACCUACGGGUGAAAGCAGGGGAUCUUCGGACCUUGCGCGAUUGAAUGAGCCGAUGUCGGAUUAGCUAGUUGGCGGGGUAAAGGCCCACCAAGGCGACGAUCCGUAGCUGGUCUGAGAGGAUGAUCAGCCACACUGGAACUGAGACACGGUCCAGACUCCUACGGGAGGCAGCAGUGGGGAAUAUUGGACAAUGGGCGCAAGCCUGAUCCAGCCAUACCGCGUGGGUGAAGAAGGCCUUCGGGUUGUAAAGCCCUUUUGUUGGGAAAGAAAAGCAGCAGGUUAAUACCCCGCUGUUCUGACGGUACCCAAAGAAUAAGCACCGGCUAACUUCGUG
rnacentral:rRNA from 1 species